rnacentral:rRNA from 1 species
UUGAUCCUGGCUCAGAAUCAACGCUGGCGGCGUGCCUAACACAUGCAAGUCGAACGGGAAAGUGGAGCAAUCCAUGAGUAUAGUGGCGACCGGGUGAGUUACACGUGACUAACCUACCUUCAAGUGGGGGAUAACCUCGGGAAACCGGGUCUAAUACCGCAUAAUAUCCUUGUUAUGAGAAAGCAGGGAUCAAAGGAGCUAUUCGCUGGAAGAGGGGGUCGCGGCUGAUUAGCUAGUUGGUGGGGUAAUUGCCCACCAAGGCUUUGAUCGGUAGCCGGCCUGAGAGGGCGCACGGCCACUCUGGAACUGAAACACGGUCCAGACUCCUACGGGAGGCAGCAGUGGGGAAUUUUGCGCAAUGGGGGAAACCCUGACGCAGCAACGCCGCGUGGAGGAUGAUGUCCCUUGGGACGUAAACUCCUUUCGACCGGGAAGAUUAUGACGGUACCUGUGGAAGAAGCCCCGGCUAACUUCGUGCCAGCAGCCGCGGUAAUAAGGU